GAUUAUUUACAAAUUUGUUAAUCAAGACCAACGGAAUUUCCGACAAAUUGCCGUUGGAAAUAUUAAGCUACAAAAUAAGAAUCAUUUAUGCAAAAGUAUGUGUGUGGUGACACUAUAUUUCCAACGGAUAGGCCGUGGGAACUCAUGUCCGGAAAUCAAAUUAUAUAUAUAUAUUAAACCCAUUAAGUCUAACCACUUUUUGAAUCAAUCUCUACCGUCGGAUCAUGCGGAGAUGAAAUCUCAGCCGUUUAAACUCACAAAAAUAACCGCUCUAAUGGCGGUUCAGGGUGGUUAUUGGUUGUUCCACCUUUUUCUACACAUGAUCUCCACAACUUUGGUGGUUGCAUCUUAAUUUUUCCCCAAAACCAUUUUUUAUGCAGUUCACAGAAGUUUUUAGCAGUUUAGCUAGACAUCCCAUCUUUGUAGGUUCACGUUUCCAUCCACGUUCGACGAUUUCUCCUCCCCAACCACCCUAGGCCACCCAUUAUAAAUCCUCCACCACCCACCAUCGGCCAAAGACUGCUCUCUCUCAUAUUUUGCAUUUGUUAUUGAGGUUUUCUGAUUUCUCUGAUCUCUUGAAGGCUUGAAGCUACUUAUGGUUUUCCCCACUGUAAUCGAUAAAGAAUUAGUGAACCACACCAUCACAUAGCAUAUAUCAGAUCGGGAGGUACUAAAUUUUGCAUAUAUGAAGGAAAUACAUGUAUGCUAGAGCGUCGUUUUUUCGCCUACCAGAGUUUGAAAGUGAACUAAUCGAAUGUUGGUGGUACAAGAAAUUUAGGAAGCACCUGAGUUGCUGGAGGAACGGGAAGAAGCAUUGGGGCUGCAAGUAAGUAGAAGUUUAACCGCUGUGUUGGCAGUUCUCAGCAGUUUCAUAGCUUGGGAGUUAGCCCAACCUUUUCAUGCCCACGUGUGAUGAUUGUUCAACUCCCAUGUUUGCUUUAUACCAUGAAGACGAAUUUGUGUGGUGCUUUACGGCGAUCUGCAACAUUCACCUCUGCCUAAAUUGAUUCCUAUGGUCUUCAUAUGGUGCUCUCAAAGAUCAAACCGAAGUCGUCUUCCUCUCUGAUGGCUAGGAUCUCAUGAAUUGCACUCAUUUGAUCGGUUGUCGUAAACUCAAUUGCAUCCCUUGUAUCCUCACAUUUCACAUGGAGGACACAUUGAAAGAUCAAUCGUCUGUUUCUCGUGAUUAGUUUUGCACUCUUUGUCAUAAGUGUGCAGAUUGAGAUUGUUGUUUGUCUACUAAAAUUACAAAUUGUUUUUACAGGAAUCAAGGGAGGAGAAUCGGCUUCGGUAUCCUAUGCGAUCAGCCACCAAAUCUGACGAUGAGAAGCUUCCUGUAUCCGUUCCGUCAAUUGCUUAGACGUCUAGAAGGUUGUCAUUGGAAUGAAUGUUGCUGCAUCUGAAUUCUAUGGAAAAGACAAGACGUGAUUUGGACUUCAAGGAAGAGAACAACAACGGGUCUCAAAAAAUAUCCGAAGUGCAGCUCAAAGAUCUCUAUAAAUCGUUUGUGAGCGAGUACCCUAUUACUCAAAGGUUAACCAAAUUGGAUCUGUUACUGGGAGCAAUGAAGCUGUGAAAAUGCCAAAGCAUGCUGGUUGGGGUGUUAGACUAUGGGGGGUAGAGGAGGGUAGUCCUUAAAGGAUGGUUCGCCAUGUAGACGGCCACGUAAGCGGGUGUGAGUAUGAGCCUAAAGGGAUGGGCUAGGGGUGUGGAGGAUGAGCCCCUUUUUAUAUACAUACGUAUGUAUGUAUAGUUGUGUGUGUGUGUGUUGGAUAAAGAAGUGAGGGCCAGCUUCAAUGUCUAGGGGAGAACGGGGACGACCCGGUGGGCGGUGCGCAGGCCGUCGCCGCUCCUCGACGCACCGGGACAAGCCCCAUGGGGAAAUAUAUAUUAUAUAAUAUGCGUUUUCAGUUGUUUUUGCAACUUCAUUUUUUUAUUAAUAAUAUUAUAGUGGUGUCACAAUGGGGAAACAAAGGAUACCUUCAUUGCUGAUCUCUCUGUUGGUUUAGUGACGGGCCAAAUCAAGAUUGGAGCCCCAUGCAGGUCUGAACGUCAAGCCAAGUACAAUCAGCUCUUGCGAAUUGAAGAAGAACUCGGGUCAGAAGCAGUUUAUGCUUGAAGAAGAACUCGGGUCAGAAGCAGUUUAUGCUGGAGCCAACUUCAGGAAGUUCGUAGAGCCCUACUAGAUUUGCGUUUAGUACGGUUGAAAUAAAAACUCAAGGGAAGGGGCAAAAUAGACCUUUUCCUCAUAAUAAUUGUAUCUUUAAAGUUUUAUGUGGAUUUUGUUUUGUGGUAAUCAAUCAUUUUGGCCUAUGGUAUUUGUUGUC